rnacentral:sRNA from 1 species
AGGCUGGUCUUGAAUUCCUGACCUUGUGAUCCACCCACCUCGGCCUCCCAGAGUGCUGGGAUUACAGGUGUGAACCACCGCACCUGGCCUGAGAAUUUUAACUUUUUAUUGCUCUAAAGUUGCCAUUAGUUUGACCAACUAACCAAUGAAUGAGCUGUAGUGGGUUGCUGGAGAGGUGAUGCUUAGUGUCCGAGUGUUUUGCGCUGGGCCUCGGUGGUCCUGGUGGCGGAUGUUGGUAUGCCCCUGCUCCCCUGCCCUGACUGCACCCUUUUUCUCCCGGCAGUCGUCCCUGGGGAUGAGCCCAGGGAGAAGAUGGACUUGGUCACCUACUUUGGAAAGAGACCCCCAGGCGUGCUGCAUUGCACAACCAAGUUUUGUGACUACGGGAAGGCUCCCGGGGCAGAGGAGUACGCUCAACAAGAUGUGUUAAAGAAAUCUUACUCCAAGGCCUUCACACUGACCAUCUCUGCCCUCUUUGUGACACCCAAGACGACUGGGGCCCGGGUGGAGUUAAGCGAGCAGCAACUGCAGUUGUGGCCGAGUGAUGUGGACAAGCUGUCACCCACUGACAACCUGCCGCGGGGGAGCCGCGCCCACAUCACCCUCGGCUGUGCAGCUGACGUAGAGGCCGUGCAGACGGGCCUUGACCUCUUAGAGAUUCUGCGGCAGGAGAAGGGGGGCAGCCGAGGCGAGGAGGUGGGCGAGCUAAGCCGGGGCAAGCUCUAUUCCUUGGGCAAUGGGCGCUGGAUGCUGACCCUGGCCAAGAACAUGGAGGUCAGGGCCAUCUUCACGGGGUACUACGGGAAAGGCAAACCUGUGCCCACGCAAGGCAGCCGGAAGGGGGGCGCCUUGCAGUCCUGCACCAUCAUAUGAGUGUUCUCACCACCACUUAUGCCCCUAGAAGGGAAGGG